CAGCUAAAACAGAGGAUGUUUCUUUUACGAAGUAAACGCGGCUAAAUCUGAGAGAUCACGUCCUGAACUUCAUUAAUUAUAGCUAAUUUUAGGGACAUUCUCCCUGCGUCUUGAAGAUUUUGAAGGAAUAGGGACGAAUAAAAUCAAGGAUUUAGAAAAUUUGUUUUCGUUUCUGAAGACGAUAACACAAGAGUCAGGACAGCUGAAUUACCAGGGUCGUGUGAUCAGAUACCAGGCAGAAGGCAGAGUGCACGGUUUAAAGUUUCUGUACGAUGGUACGGCCUGGGAUGUCGAGAGUGGAAUCAGUGAGACAGACAGACAUUACAAAAGCAGGCAGGGAGCAAUUGAACACGCUGUUGAGAAACUUAUCGGUGAGCUCAAAGCCAGGGGCCUUGUUUUUUAAAAAUCAUCUUCGCUGUACAUAAAAGAAACAAAGGAUGGAAUAAUAAUGAUAACAAGCAAUAACGAUUAAAGGCAUUUUUUUUUUCUUUUUUUGAAUUAAAUUCCACCUUUGCUUGAGUACUUGUUUUAGAUUAGGCACGGUGUGACGAUAUAGCGUGACAAAAGACAAAAUCUGCUUUUCGCACUUCUGUUACAUGGCAAACUUUCUGUCGUCAAAUUUGAUAUCUGAUAAAUAAAUAAUUAAAUGAUCAGUUUAUUUAACCCUUUGGUAGUGUUUAACACUAAAUUACAAGGGAGGUAAAUUCUACAUAUAACACCUGAAUACACUUAGCAUAGAAGGCAAAAACAAGUAAGCCGUGUUCUAACGAAAUUUCUAAGGUGGUCCGCUCUGACAAUCCCGUCAAUAGGUGGUUUUCACGU